AUUUAAGCUCUCGGGCGGCGGCGCGGCGGCCAUUUUGUCGCUGAAGCCACACGAAGCGGGCUCUGAGCUGCACGUGGACCCCGUAAAAGAGAUGCGGAAUCCCUCGUCUGCCUCCCUCAGCGCCUCCUUUGCGGCUAUGAGAGUAGGGUGAUGGUCCAGAUCGGCCCCAAAAUGCUCUGAAUUCAUCCCAGAGCGUGAAGCGCGCCACGUGGACCCCUCCCUUCAGCCGUGAGUUCUGAUUCUUUAUGGAUUUUGGGGGGGCCCCCCAUGAGGAAAACCCCACGCGUCCGACCCCCCCCGUGCUGCGCCAGCGCCUGCGAAAGGCUGAACCCACUGGUGACGGCGGGAGGAAAGGGGGACACCGCGUCCAGAGGGGACGGAGGAGAUGGAGGUGUGGAGCGAGGUGACGCCGUGUGGGGCAGCCCCAGGGAGAGGAGAAGCGGCACUGAGGUCCCGCAGCGAUGGGAAUAGAACCGAAUGGGAUUUACUUAUAAUAAUUCAACUUUUUCGUUAUAAACCUAAAAUGUAAACAAAUAUAUAAUGUAUAAAUGUAAUAAACAUAUUAAUUCUUGUAAUAAC